rnacentral:rRNA from 1 species
UCCCAGCAGUCCGAGUAGCAGCCACAAUUAUUUGGUCUAAAACAUUCGUAGCUCGCCAGGAAAGUUUCCUGUCAAAUCCUUCUGCUUAACAGAAGGGCGUGCAAGAAAUACUUCCUGGCUUGGGACCAGAAGGUGUGAGAAGAACAGCUGAGGUAGUGGUAAAAUACGUUAAUCUCAGCUGGACUAACAAUCGCGAAGGCAUCUCACAAGUAUGGAUCCGACGGUGAGGAAUGAAAGCUAGGGGCGCGAAACGG